rnacentral:lncRNA from 1 species
AUAAUUUUACAUUCCUACCAAGUGAAUUACUAAAUCUGUUCUUCCUAUUACCUCAACCCUGAUACCUAAUCCGACAAAAAGAGAGAUCGAAAAGAGAUGGGCCGGCGCUAUUGAUUGACGUACAUUCCAUCCAACCUACAGCGGUAAAAGAGGGCGCUUGCGUAAGUCGUUAUCCAGUGAGAACUCAGCGGCAGAGGCGGAGGCGGGCCUUGUGGAAACUGCUGCAGCAGGGUUGGCGGAUUUGGGAAGGAGUGAAGAUGGCGGAGUGAGGCGCAUCGCGGCCAGCCGGCCUUUGGGCCGGGGGCGUGAAGGCCCCCGGACGGUCGAGUGCUUCUACUGGCUGGUGAGAGGUAUUGUGUGUUUCUCCUGGAGUGGAAUCACUCCUUCAGAAAUAACCAGUACAACUAUGCAAAGAUAUAUACAAGGACCCAAUACAAGAAAUGGUUAAAUUCUGAUAUAUACCUAUCAUUCAAUCAUGCAGGUAAGAAAUAAUUUACAUAUGGGCUGGUAUGGAAAGUUGAGAAAAGCAGGUUAUAGAAUAAUGUGAAAUGCCUUUAUGUCUAUGUGUAUUCACCCACAUGCAUAAAGAUUAUUUAUUUUGAACACUUAGUAUGUGCUAAGCACUGCUGUAAUUACAGUAGGUGUACUCAUUAAUUCACUUCAUCCUCACUACAACCAUAGUGUUUGUUUUUUUUUUUAACUUAUUUAGAGAGGAGAUCACAAGGGGGGGGUGCAGAGAAAGAAUCCCAAGCAGGCUCCACACUGUUAGUGCAGAGCCUGACACAGGGCUUGAACCCACAAACAGAUCAUGACCUGAGCCAAAAUGAGUAGGAUGCUUAAGCAGCUGAGCUACUCAGGUGCCCUCAGUCCUAGUAUUUUUUGU